GACGAACGCUGGCGGCGUGCUUAACACAUGCAAGUCGCACGGGCCCGCCAGGCUAACCGGCGGAGCGCGGCGUACCACGUGGGCAAUCUGCCGUCCACUGGCGGAUCGCCGGCCCAACGUCCGGGUAAUACCCCAUACGCUUGCCCGGUGACAUCCCUUGGCAACGAAACCUCCGGUGGAGAGCGAGGGGCUUGGGGCCUAUCCGCUGGUUGGUGGGGUCACGGCGCACGAAGGCGAUGACGGGUAGCUGGUCCGAGAGGCUGGCCAGCCACGUUGGGACUGAGAUACGGCCCAGACUCCGACGGGGGGCAGCAGGGGGGAAUAUUGGGGAAUGGCCGCAAGGAUGACGCAGCGACGCCGCGUGGGGGAUGAAGCAUGUCGGUGUGUAAACCCCUGUGGCCCGGGAUGAAGCUCGCCGUUCGAGGGGACUGACGGUACCGGGUGAGGAAGCACCGGCUAACUACGUG
rnacentral:rRNA from 1 species